GGUCCCAUAGUCUAGUGGUUAGGACGUCGGAUUUUGAUAACUCAAUAUCGGAGUUUGAAGUCUUCCGUAGGCGCGAGUUCGAAUCUCGCUGGGACCU